rnacentral:rRNA from 1 species
UUAAGCGACUAAGCGUACACGGUGGAUGCCCUGGCAGUCAGAGGCGAUGAAGGACGUGCUAAUCUGCGAUAAGCGUCGGUAAGGUGAUAUGAACCGUUAUAACCGGCGAUUUCCGAAUGGGGAAACCCAGUGUGUUUCGACACACUAUCAUUAACUGAAUCCAUAGGUUAAUGAGGCGAACCGGGGGAACUGAAACAUCUAAGUACCCCGAGGAAAAGAAAUCAACCGAGAUUCCCCCAGUAGCGGCGAGCGAACGGGGAGCAGCCCAGAGCCUGAAUCAGUGUGUGUGUUAGUGGAAGCGUCUGGAAAGGCGCGCGAUACAGGGUGACAGCCCCGUACACAAAAAUGCACAUGCUGUGAGCUCGAUGAGUAGGGCGGGACACGUGGUAUCCUGUCUGAAUAUGGGGGGACCAUCCUCCAAGGCUAAAUACUCCUGACUGACCGAUAGUGAACCAGUACCGUGAGGGAAAGGCGAAAAGAACCCCGGCGAGGGGAGUGAAAAAGAACCUGAAACCGUGUACGUACAAGCAGUGGGAGCACAGAGCAAUCUGUGUGACUGCGUACCUUUUGUAUAAUGGGUCAGCGACUUAUAUUCUGUAGCAAGGUUAACCGAAUAGGGGAGCCGAAGGGAAACCGAGUCUUAACUGGGCGUUAAGUUGCAGGGUAUAGACCCGAAACCCGGUGAUCUAGCCAUGGGCAGGUUGAAGGUUGGGUAACACUAACUGGAGGACCGAACCGACUAAUGUUGAAAAAUUAGCGGAUGACUUGUGGCUGGGGGUGAAAGGCCAAUCAAACCGGGAGAUAGCUGGUUCUCCCCGAAAGCUAUUUAGGUAGCGCCUCGUGAAUUCAUCUCCGGGGGUAGAGCACUGUUUCGGCAAGGGGGUCAUCCCGACUUACCAACCCGAUGCAAACUGCGAAUACCGGAGAAUGUUAUCACGGGAGACACACGGCGGGUGCUAACGUCCGUCGUGAAGAGGGAAACAACCCAGACCGCCAGCUAAGGUCCCAAAGUCAUGGUUAAGUGGGAAACGAUGUGGGAAGGCCCAGACAGCCAGGAUGUUGGCUUAGAAGCAGCCAUCAUUUAAAGAAAGCGUAAUAGCUCACUGGUCGAGUCGGCCUGCGCGGAAGAUGUAACGGGGCUAAACCAUGCACCGAAGCUGCGGCAGCGACGCUUAUGCGUUGUUGGGUAGGGGAGCGUUCUGUAAGCCUGCGAAGGUGUGCUGUGAGGCAUGCUGGAGGUAUCAGAAGUGCGAAUGCUGACAUAAGUAACGAUAAAGCGGGUGAAAAGCCCGCUCGCCGGAAGACCAAGGGUUCCUGUCCAACGUUAAUCGGGGCAGGGUGAGUCGACCCCUAAGGCGAGGCCGAAAGGCGUAGUCGAUGGGAAACAGGUUAAUAUUCCUGUACUUGGUGUUACUGCGAAGGGGGGACGGAGAAGGCUAUGUUGGCCGGGCGACGGUUGUCCCGGUUUAAGCGUGUAGGCUGGUUUUCCAGGCAAAUCCGGAAAAUCAAGGCUGAGGCGUGAUGACGAGGCACUACGGUGCUGAAGCAACAAAUGCCCUGCUUCCAGGAAAAGCCUCUAAGCAUCAGGUAACAUCAAAUCGUACCCCAAACCGACACAGGUGGUCAGGUAGAGAAUACCAAGGCGCUUGAGAGAACUCGGGUGAAGGAACUAGGCAAAAUGGUGCCGUAACUUCGGGAGAAGGCACGCUGAUAUGUAGGUGAAGUCCCUCGCGGAUGGAGCUGAAAUCAGUCGAAGAUACCAGCUGGCUGCAACUGUUUAUUAAAAACACAGCACUGUGCAAACACGAAAGUGGACGUAUACGGUGUGACGCCUGCCCGGUGCCGGAAGGUUAAUUGAUGGGGUUAGCGCAAGCGAAGCUCUUGAUCGAAGCCCCGGUAAACGGCGGCCGUAACUAUAACGGUCCUAAGGUAGCGAAAUUCCUUGUCGGGUAAGUUCCGACCUGCACGAAUGGCGUAAUGAUGGCCAGGCUGUCUCCACCCGAGACUCAGUGAAAUUGAACUCGCUGUGAAGAUGCAGUGUACCCGCGGCAAGACGGAAAGACCCCGUGAACCUUUACUAUAGCUUGACACUGAACAUUGAGCCUUGAUGUGUAGGAUAGGUGGGAGGCUUUGAAGUGUGGACGCCAGUCUGCAUGGAGCCGACCUUGAAAUACCACCCUUUAAUGUUUGAUGUUCUAACGU